rnacentral:rRNA from 1 species
UACAGAGGUGGCGAGCGUUAUUCGGAAUUAUUGGGCGUAAAGGGCGCGUAGGCGGCAUCAGGUGUCGGAUGUGAAAGCCCGGGGCUCAACCCCGGAGGUGCAUCCGAAACUCUGAGGCUCGAGGUCGGAAGAGGAGGGUGGAAUACCCAGUGUAGAGGUGAAAGUCGUAGAUAUUGGGUGGAACACCGGUGGCGAAAGCGGCUCUCUGGUCCGAAUCUGACGCUGAGGCGCGAAAGCGUGGGGAGCAAACAGG